AGUCCUACGGGAGGCAGCAGUGGGGGAUAUUGCACAAUGGGGGGAACCCUGAUGCAGCGACGCCGCGUGAGUGAAGAAGUAUUUCGGUAUGUAAAGCUCUGUUAGCAGGGAAGAAAAUGACGGUACCUGACCAAGAAGCCCCGGCUAACUACGUGCCAGCAGCCGCGGUAAUACGUAGGGGGCAAGCGUUAUCCGGAUUUACUGGGUGUAAAGGGAGCGUAGACGGCAGGGCAAGUCUGGAGUGAAAGGCGGGGGCUCAACC
rnacentral:rRNA from 1 species